GACGAACGCUGGCGGCGUGCCUAAUACAUGCAAGUAGAACGCACAGUUUAUAUCGUAGCUUGCUACACCAUAGACUGUGAGUUGCGAACGGGUGAGUAACGCGUAGGUAACCUGCCUGGUAGCGGGGGAUAACUAUUGGAAACGAUAGCUAAUACCGCAUAAUAUUAAUUAUUGCAUGAUAAUUAAUUGAAAGGUGCAAUUGCACCACUACCAGAUGGACCUGCGUUGUAUUAGCUAGUAGGUGAGGUAACGGCUCACCUAGGCGACGAUACAUAGCCGACCUGAGAGGGUGAUCGGCCACACUGGGACUGAGACACGGCCCAGACUCCUACGGGAGGCAGCAGUAGGGAAUCUUCGGUAAUGGACGAAAGUCUGACCGAGCAACGCCGCGUGAGUGAAGAAGGUUUUCGGAUCGUAAAGCUCUGUUGUAAGAGAAGAACGGGUGUGGGAGUGGAAAGUUCACACUGUGACGGUAUCUUACCAGAAAGGGACGGCUAACUACGUG
rnacentral:rRNA from 1 species